GAAGUGGUGGCUCAGUGGUUAGGCUUUUGAGCUACAGCUUCAGAGGUCAUAAGUUCAACUCCUAGCAAUACCA